GGCUGGUCCGAUGGUAGUGGGUUAUCAGAACUUAUUAACAUUAGUAUCACUAAAGUUGGUAUACAAACCCCCCACUGCUAAAUUUGACUGGCUUUUU
ensembl:misc_RNA Y_RNA Y RNA